rnacentral:sRNA from 1 species
GUAAAAGCCCUGGAGACUGAAGCUAUCUAUUUAUCCAGAGAAGAGGCACAGCACUGGGACAAGCUCUCCAUACCUCCUUCCCACCAAAGUGUCCUCACCCCACAAGCUGAAGAACAGAGACACCUCUAGGGAUGGGAAGGGACUUUGGUCACCAUGACCCUUUCAGUCCUUGGACCUAU